rnacentral:rRNA from 1 species
UACGAAGGGGGCUAGCGUUGUUCGGAUUUACUGGGCGUAAAGCGCACGUAGGCGGAUCGAUCAGUCGGGGGUGAAAUCCUGGAGCUCAACUCCAGAACUGCCUUCGAUACUGGCGAUCUUGGAGUCCGGGAGAGGUGAGUGGAACUCCGAGUGUAGAGGUGAAAUUCGUAGAUAUUCGGAAGAACACCAGUGGCGAAGGCGGCUCACUGGCCCGGUACUGACGCUGAGGUGCGAAAGCGUGGGGAGCAAACAGG